ACACCAUUCCCUGGGUAAAAACCAGCUGGAUGACUGGGCCCAGAGAGUGGUGGUGAAGGAGUUACAUCCUACUGGCAGCCAGUCACAAGAGAUACUCCACAGAGCUCAGUAUUUGGGCCAGUUCUGUUUAAUGUUUUUGUCAAUGAUCUGAACAAGGGGAUCAUUCAGUUUGCUGACGACACCAGGUUGGGUGGGAGUGUUGAUCUGCUGGAGGGUAGGAAUACUCUGCAGAGGGACCUGGACAGGCUGGAUUGAUGGGACAAGGCCAACAUGUAUGCGGUUCAACAAGGAUAAAUGCCGGGUCCUGCGCUUGGCUCACAGCAACCCCGUGAAGCAGUACAGGCUGGGGGAAGAGUGGCUGUAAAGCUAUCCAGUGGCAAAGGACUUGGGGAUACUGUUUGACAGCUGGUUGAACAUGAGCGAGUAGUGUGUCCAGGUGACCAAGAAGGCCGUGAUUGUCCUCAAUGAUUUUAAAGAUCUUUUCCAACCUAAACAAUUCUAUGAUCUAUGAGUUUGUAAUUUUGUUUUGUCCUUCUGUAACUGAUUUUUUGAACCUAAGGACCAAGAGAAGCCGUAAAACAAACCAAUGACAAACUAUUGCUUGUGGUUGGUAACUAUAGUGAUCUCUGGCAACUGUAGUGAUGUCUGAGAGAAGUGGAGAACGGACCUGGUCUAUUGAUAGAACCAGAGAAAAGAAUAGUGUGAUACACCCUCAGGAAACAUGAUUCAUACCUACGCUGCCUUCUUUUUUAGUAGUUCCUGUGAGACCAGCUGCUAUUGAUUAUGUUCAUCAUGUCCUACACCCUAAUCUGGGAAAGACACCUCUCUUUGCUCUGUGAGAGGAAACCUGGAUCCAAACUGGUAUUCUGACCUAAUCUGUGCAAUGAGACAAGUUGGGUGCUACAGUCUAAUCCAUGAUCUCUGCCUGGCUGAGAUCAGCCCAUGUUAAAAAUCAGUCUCAACCACUGUAGAUUUUAUGUAUGGAUCCAAGACACAUCAAAGCAUUUUCGUGACUCCAGAAUCACAAUAAAUCAUUACAUCCAAAAUUAGAUUUUGGGUCAUUUUUAUGUUUGUUAGUAUGCUUUUCUUUCUUCACAAUUAUAGAUCAACUUCAGUCAAGUGAUGUUUUCAUUUCAACACUGUUGUUUUGUUCAAAUGUAUUGAAACACUGAGCAAGUUUACAUGCAAAAUUCAA